ACGCCCCUUUACUCAACGAAACGCCCCUUCACACUACACGACACUCUGAUUGGCUCUCAAGAGACUGCGUCUGAAACGUGAUGAAGUUUACGUUGACCGAGUAUGAAGAGAGAACCCGAAAAAGUAACACGGGAAAAACACGGGAAAAUGACGGAGGAAAAGAGCAACACUACGUUCAGUGAAGGAGCAGACCCUGAGCUGAGAAGAUGCGACUCGGACACUUAUCAGUGUCUGAUCUGCACAAAAAAGGGGAGCUAUGCAAAGCUUGUGUCUCAUCUGCAGGGACACCAAAGGUCAAUGGUGGAGUACGGUGGAAAGGGCCCAACAAGCCCAACAGAAGCGACGCGAGGCAUGUUGUCUGUUAACCAGUGUAAUCACAGAGGAUCAGGGCAUGCUGCAACAC